CUCACACGCAGUCACUCUUUGUGCCAUUAUGGAGGCAUUUUAAUGAUGAGCUAGAAAACAUAACGUCCGUCCAGAGUUCAACAUUUGGAGUUAAUGCCAACCGUCUCAGGGAAGCCUGGGCCAGUGGACUGGGUUCUUCAAUCUCAGAUGAGCUUUAGGAGGACGAGGGCCUCUCCAAUGUUCAGGGAUGCUCCAUCAAUUCCAGGGACAUCCAACUAAACUGCGCCCUGGCCAUCUUUGGCUGCUCUGAUAGGUUACUUGCAUCUCACCAAAGGAAACACGGGGAUAGGGACGAUUGCUACAAAGAGACGAAUCUUACAAGAAUGGAAAUCCCCAUCACCUCCUUGUUCCAAAAAGAUCCAUUGCUGCAAAGGGAAGUCUCUCAGCAGUUCUAUGGGCAUCUGGAAACCUCUCCUGGACUUGCUCGAUGGGCCAUAAUCUGGAGAAUUGCUUCCUGCCACUGUAUGCUUGAUGUCUGCUUAUCAAGCUGAUGAUCACCUCCAAGAAAAAUGAAGCCAACAAUGGAGUGCCAAAAGCUGCACUUCCUCCUGUGGCCACUCAAAUGUGAUCUUUAACUCACCUGUUUGGAUUCUGUGGAAGUUUAAAGUAAGCAGCGUGGCCUCUUUGACAGGCAUGCAGACAGGAGCUGCUGCAGCUGCCUGAACAAUUAAAAGCACCAGAAGAACAGAGGCAGCGA